UACGUAGGGUGCGAGCGUUGUCCGGAAUUACUGGGCGUAAAGAGCUCGUAGGUGGUUUGUCACGUUGUCCGUGAAAACUCACAGCUUAACUGUGGGCGUGCGGGCGAUACGGGCAGACUGGAGUACUGUAGGGGAGACUGGAAUUCCUGGUGUAGCGGUGGAAUGCGCAGAUAUCAGGAGGAACACCGGUGGCGAAGGCGGGUCUCUGGGCAGUAACUGACGCUGAGGAGCGAAAGCGUGGGGAGCGAACAGG
rnacentral:rRNA from 1 species